rnacentral:rRNA from 1 species
GAGGGCGGCCGCGGGAAUUCGAUUCAGGCCUAACACAUGCAAGUCGAACGAUGAAGCAGGAGCUUGCUCCGGUGGAUUAGUGGCGAACGGGUGAGUAACACGUGAGCAAUCUGCCCUUGACUCUGGGAUAACUGCGGGAAACUGUAGCUAAUACCGGAUACGAGACUGAGAGGCAUCUUUCAGUCUGGAAAGAAUUUCGGUCAAGGAUGAGCUCGCGGCCUAUCAGCUAGUUGGUGAGGUAAUGGCUCACCAAGGCGACGACGGGUAGCCGGCCUGAGAGGGGGGCCGGCCACACUGGAACUGAGACACGGUCCAGACUCCUACGGGAGGCAGCAGUGGGGAAU